ACAAACACUAACUGCAUAUCAACCUUUCUUGCACGUUAGUUUCAGUUUUAUGUUUGCAUUCCUAUUCAGCUCAGCGGCUCAGUGAGGCGUACUGUAUGUGAAAUUAAAUCUGUCAUCUUGUUAUGAACUGAUGAACAUGAACACAGUCUCAAACCUUCAGUAGUGUGAUGUCAACAACAGCAGAUGGGAAACAAUGCCGAGCAUCAGUCCCAUAAAGAGCGUAAUGAUGGCAAAAAUCACGUAAGAGCCCCAGCAAGGGAUACCGAGCGUAUUCGUCAGACAGAAAAGGCUGUAUUUACAGAAGAGAGGGUGGCGACUUCCAUCCUGGCACCGGCUCAACCAUCGCCCACUU